rfam:Aedes albopictus isolate Foshan contig150609, whole genome shotgun sequence.
UAGCCUAGUGGUUAAGGCUAUGGAUCGCCUAUCCGGAGACGGCGGGUUCGAUUCCCGC